AUUGAACGCUGGCGGCAGGCCUAACACAUGCAAGUCGAACGAGUGGCGGACGGGUGAGUAAUGUCUGGGAAACUGCCCGCUGGAGGGGGAUAACUACUGGAAACGGUAGCUAAUACCGCAUACCAUCUGAUGUGCCCCGAUGGGAUUAGCUAGUAGGUGGGGUAACGGCUCACCUGGGCGACGAUCCCUAGCUGGUCUGAGAGGAUGACCAGCCACAAGGGAACUUAGACACGGUCCAGACGCCUACGGGAGGCAGCAGUGGGGAAGAUUGCACAAUGGGCGCAAGCCUGAUGCAGCCAUGCCGCGUGUAUGAAGAAGGCCUGCGGGUUGUAAAGUACUUUCAGCGAGGAGGCGUUACUCGCAGAAGAAGCACCGGCUAACUCCGUGCCAGCAGCCGCGGUAAUAC
rnacentral:rRNA from 1 species